rnacentral:sRNA from 2 species
UCCCUGAGCGCGCCGAGCCUCGCCAGCCAGGGACAUUGCCCGGGUCCCGGGCACGGGCGAGGACGGGGGAACCACUGUGGCCCCACAAGGGCCUAGGGGUGAGGUCGCGCAAGCGACGGGGCAGCCUGACGCCCCAACCCGACAGCUAACCCCGCAGGCGCCGUCAGGAAGGAACA